rnacentral:rRNA from 1 species
UUUUUGGCAAUUUAAAUUGGGGUAGUAAUAGAGGAUCUAGAAACCUAAAAUUUUUGGCGGUUCUUUAGACUAGUUAGAGGAACUUGUCCUUUAAUAGAUAAUCCGCUAUUGGGUUUAGCUUUUUUUGUGUAUGUAUAUCGCCGUCGUAAAAUAAUUUUAAAAGAAUUUAUUUAUUUGCUAUGAAUAGAGAUAAGACAGGUCAAGGUGCAGCUUAUAGAAAAGGGUGAGAUGAGUUACAAUUUUUGAGUAAAAAACGGAUUUGUAAGGUGAAAAUGUUAUAUUGAAGGUGGAUUUAAAAGUAAGAUUUAAUUAGGAUGUAGUUUUGAUUAUAGCUCUAGGGAAUGU